rnacentral:rRNA from 1 species
CCUACGGGUGGCUGCAGUCGAGAAUCUUCCGCAAUGGACGAAAGUCUGACGGAGCGACGCCGCGUGAUUGAUGAAGUCCUUCGGGAUGUAAAGAUCUUUUAUAGAGGAGAAAGUUUAUUGAUCUCUCUGUGAAUAAGAGGUGGCUAAACUCGUGCCAGCAGCAGCGGUAAUACGAGUGCCUCAAGCGUUAUCCGGAAUUAUUGGGCGUAAAGGGUGCGCAGACUGUCAUGUUAGUCUCUUGUUAAAGCCUACGGCUCAACCGUAGAAUCGCAAGGGAAACGGCAUGACUUGAGAGCGUGAGGGGUCUAUGGAACUCUAGGUGUAGGGGUAAUAUCCGUUGAUAUCUAGGGGAACACCAAAAGCGAAGGCAAUAGACUGGCACGUUUCUGACGUUCAUGCACGAAAGCGUGGGUAGCGAAUGGGAUUAGAUACCCUAGUAGUC